AGAGUUUGAUCCUGGCUCAGAAUCAACGCUGGCGGCGCGCUUAACACAUGCAAGUCGAACGAGAAAGGGAGCAAUCCUGAGUAAAGUGGCGCACUGGUGAGUAACACGUGGGUAAUUUACCUUCUUGUGGGGAAUAACCCUGGGAAACUAGGGCUAAUACCGCAUACGUCCGAGAGGAGAAAGCCGCAAGGCGCAGGAAGAGAAGCCCGCGGCCGAUUAGCUAGUUGGUGAGGUAAUGGCUCACCAAGGCGACGAUCGGUAGCCGGCCUGAGAGGGCACACGGCCACACUGGCACUGAAACACGGGCCAGACUCCUACGGGAGGCAGCAGUGGGGAAUCUUGCACAAUGGGGGAAACCCUGAUGCAGCGACGCCGCGUGAACGAUGAAGCCCUUCGGGGUGUAAA
rnacentral:rRNA from 1 species